CCACUUGAAGAUGAGGAGUUGAUCUCCUACAUGAUGUGUGGCCUUGACACAGAGUACUACUCCCCGGUGAUGAGCAUCACAACAUGUAUCGAUCCAAUCUCCAUCAACGACCUGUACAUGCACAUACUAAGUUUUCAGC